GACGAACGCUGGCGGCGUGCUUAACACAUGCAAGUCGAACGGAAAGGCCCUGCUUGCAGGGUACUCGAGUGGCGAACGGGUGAGUAACACGUGGGUGAUCUGCCCUGCACUUCGGGAUAAGCCUGGGAAACUGGGUCUACUACCGGAUAGGAGCCAUUUUUAGUGUGAUGGUUGGAAAGUUUUUUCGGUGUAGGAUGAGCUCGCGGCCUAUCAGCUUGUUGGUGGGGUAAUGGCCUACCAAGGCGGCGACGGGUAGCCGGCCUGAGAGGGUGGACGGCCACAUUGGGACUGAGAUACGGCCCAGACUCCUACGGGAGGCAGCAGUGGGGAAUAUUGCACAAUGGGCGCAAGCCUGACGCAGCGACGCCGCGUGGGGGAUGACGGCCUUCGGGUUGUAAACUCCUUUCGCUAGGGACGAAGCUUUUUGUGACGGUACCUAGAGAAGAAGCACCGGCUAACUACGUG
rnacentral:rRNA from 1 species